rnacentral:rRNA from 1 species
UACGUAGGGUGCGAGCGUUGUCCGGAAUUAUUGGGCGUAAAGGGCUCGUAGGCGGUUUGUCGCGUCGGGAGUGAAAACUCAGGGCUUAACCCUGAGCCUGCUUCCGAUACGGGCAGACUAGAGGUAUGCAGGGGAGAACGGAAUUCCUGGUGUAGCGGUGAAAUGCGCAGAUAUCAGGAGGAACACCGAUGGCGAAGGCAGGUCUCGUGGGCAUUAACUGACGCUGAGGAGCGAAAGCAUGGGGAGCGAACAGG